UGGGGGAUAUUGCACAAUGGGCGAAAGCCUGAUGCAGCGACGCCGCGUGGGGGAUGAAGGCUUUCGGGUUGUAAACCUCUUUCGCUAUCGAACAAGGCCCGCUUAGGGUGGGUUGAGGGUAGGUGGAGAAGAAGCGCCGGCUAACUACGUGCCAGCAGCCGCGGUAAUACGUAGGGCGCGAGCGUUGUCCGGAAUUAUUGGGCGUAAAGGGCUUGUAGGCGGCUUGUUGCGCCUGCUGUGAAAACGCGGGGCUUAACUUCGCGCGUGCAGUGGGUACGGGCAUGCUUGAGUGUGGUAGUGGUGACUGGAAUUCCAGGUGUAGCGGUGGAAUGCGCAGAUAUCUGGAGGAACACCGAUGGCGAAGGCAGGUCACUGGGCCAUUACUGACGCUGAGGAGCGAAAGCAUGGGUAGCGAACAGG
rnacentral:rRNA from 1 species